AUGACGCGUCAACCGCCGCCACAGCUACUUCCUCGACGAACUCCAAACCGCGACUCCCUUCGUCUCUUGCGACCGCCACUCUCAGAUGCCGUCCUCCACCAUCUCACUGCCGGCAUUUCAUUUUGUAUCAAUAACUUUUCGUCUUCACCUUCUGAAAUUGAUGCAUCUAUUCUUCUAAUAUGA